GAGCCACGCCGCGUGAGCGAAGAAGGCCUUCGGAUCGUAAAGCUCUGUUGUGAGGGAAGAACAACUACGGGUGUAUCUGCCGGUACCUUGACGGUACCUUAUCAGAAAGCCACGGCUAACUACGUGCCAGCAGCCGCGGUAAUACGUAGGUGGCAAGCGUUGUUCGGAAUUAUUGGGCGUAAAGCGCGCGCAGGCGGUCCUUUAAGUCUGAUGUGAAAGCCCACGGCUCAACCGUGGAGGGUCAUUGGAAACUGGCGGACUUGAGUGCAGAAGAGGAAAGCGGAAUUCCACGUGUAGCGGUGAAAUGCGUAGAGAUGUGGAGGAACACCAGUGGCGAAGGCGGCUUUCUGGUCCGUCACUGACGCUGAGGCGCGAAAGCGUGGGGAGCAAACAGGAUUAGAUACCCUGGUAGUCCACGCCGUAAACGAUG
rnacentral:rRNA from 1 species